UAAUUGAAGAGUUUGAUCAUGGCUCAGAUUGAACGCUGGCGGCAGGCCUAACACAUGCAAGUCGAACGGUAACAGGGAGCAGCUUGCUGCUCUGCUGACGAGUGGCGGACGGGUGAGUAAUGUCUGGGAAACUGCCUGAUGGAGGGGGAUAACUACUGGAAACGGUAGCUAAUACCGCAUAACGUCUUCGGACCAAAGUGGGGGACCUUCGGGCCUCAUGCCAUCAGAUGUGCCCAGAUGGGAUUAGCUAGUAGGUGGGGUAACGGCUCACCUAGGCGACGAUCCCUAGCUGGUCUGAGAGGAUGACCAGCCACACUGGAACUGAGACACGGUCCAGACUCCUACGGGAGGCAGCAGUGGGGAAUAUUGCACAAUGGGCGCAAGCCUGAUGCAGCCAUGCCGCGUGUAUGAAGAAGGCCUUCGGGUUGUAAAGUACUUUCAGCGGGGAGGAAGGUGUUGUGGUUAAUAACC
rnacentral:rRNA from 1 species